AGAGUUUGAUCCUGGCUCAGGACGAACGCUGGCGGCACGCUUAACACAUGCAAGUCGAACGAGAGAAGAGGAGCUUGCUUUUCUGAUCUAGUGGCGGACGGGUGAGUAACACGUGAGCAAUCUGCCUUUCAGAGGGGGAUACCGAUUGGAAACGAUCGUUAAUACCGCAUAACAUAAUUGAACCGCAUGAUUUGAUUAUCAAAGAUUUAUCGCUGAAAGAUGAGCUCGCGUCUGAUUAGCUAGUUGGUAAGGUAACGGCUUACCAAGGCGACGAUCAGUAGCCGGACUGAGAGGUUGAUCGGCCACAUUGGGACUGAGACACGGCCCAGACUCCUACGGGAGGCAGCAGUGGGGAAUAUUGCACAAUGGAGGAAACUCUGAUGCAGCGAUGCCGCGUGAGGGAAGAAGGUUUUAGGAUUGUAAACCUCUGUCUUCAGGGACGAAAAAAGACGGUACCUGAGGAGGAAGCUCCGGCUAACUACGUGCCAGCAGCCGCGGUAAUACGUAGGGAGCGAGCGUUGUCCGGAAUUACUGGGUGUAAAGGGAGCGUAGGCGGGAUCGCAAGUCAGAUGUGAAAACUAUGGGCUUAACCCAUAAACUGCAUUUGAAACUGUGGUUCUUGAGUGAAGUAGAGGUAAGCGGAAUUCCUAGUGUAGCGGUGAAAUGCGUAGAUAUUAGGAGGAACAUCAGUGGCGAAGGCGGCUUACUGGGCUUUAACUGACGCUGAGGCUCGAAAGCGUGGGGAGCAAACAGGAUUAGAUACCCUGGUAGUCCACGCCGUAAACGAUGAUUACUAGGUGUGGGGGGACUGACCCCUUCCGUGCCGCAGCAAACGCAAUAAGUAAUCCACCUGGGGAGUACGACCGCAAGGUUGAAACUCAAAGGAAUUGACGGGGGCCCGCACAAGCAGUGGAGUAUGUGGAUUAAUUCGAAGCAACGCGAAGAACCUUACCAGGUCCUGACAUCGUAUGCAUAGCUCAGAGAUGAGUGAAAUCUCUUCGGAGACAUAUAGACAGGUGGUGCAUGGUUGCCGUCAGCUCGUGUCGUGAGAUGUUGGGUUAAGUCCCGCAACGAGCGCAACCCUUACUGUUAGUUGCUACGCAAGAGCACUCUAGCAGGACUGCCGUUGACAAAACGGAGGAAGGUGGGGAUGACGUCAAAUCAUCAUGCCCCUUAUGACCUGGGCCUCACACGUACUACAAUGGCUGUCAACAGAGGGAAGCAAAGCCGCGAGGUGGAGCGAACCCCUAAAAGCAGUCUUAGUUCGGAUUGUAGGCUGCAACCCGCCUACAUGAAGUCGGAAUUGCUAGUAAUCGCAGAUCAGCAUGCUGCGGUGAAUACGUUCCCGGGCCUUGUACACACCGCCCGUCACGCCAUGGGAGUCGGUAACACCCGAAGCCUGUAGUCUAACCGCAAGGAGGACGCAGUCGAAGGUGGGAUUGAUGACUGGGGUGAAGUCGUAACAAGGUA
rnacentral:rRNA from 1 species